AGAAGAUGAGACACACUGUGUCUUAGUUUUUCUCCUCUGUAGAAUGGAAGAGAUCAUAAAUCAUACUACUUUCAUUGUAGGUCCUAGAUGAAGGAUGAGGAAGUCAGCAUGAAAAUAUAUACUCCCUGACAUACUCACAGACACACACACACACUCACACUUAUGCACACUUAGACUCACACACAAAAUCACACUCACACGUUCACGCUCACACACUCAAACUCACCACUCACAUAGUCACACACACACUCACACACUCACACACACUCACACACACCCAUACACAGUCUCUCUCUCUCACACACACACAUACACUCACACUUACACACCUAGACUCACACACACAGUCACAUACACAUUCACGCUCACACACUCAAACUCACACACACACACACCCAUACACAGUCACACACCCAUAUACUCACACUCACACACUUACACUCACACACACAGUUACAGACACACUCACACACUCAAACUCACACCCACAAAUUCACACCCAUACCUCCAAACAGUUACACACUUACUCACAUUCACACUCAUACACAUUCACACACUUAAACUCACAUCCACUCCCCCAUACACAGUCACACUCACAUAUACUCACAAAUACACACUCAUCCACACUCACACUCAUCUACUUAUAUACUCACACACACUACUUUUAUACAAACACUCAUACUCACGUACACUCACACUCAUACACACAUACACUUACUCUCACUCUCAUACACACACUCACAUACACACUUAUACACUCAAACAUUCACCCUAAAACUCACACACAUACACUUACACACACACUCACUCACUCAUACACGACCUAUUAUACUUUAAAAUGAGACGCUUCUGCGUGGACUAAGUAAAACAUGAUUUUACUACCCUGGUCUAGAAUCAGGAAAGAAAGGUUUGAAUAACCAAAGGCAGUGUAGAAAAUCAGACUCACCAUCUCAGCCUUUUACCAAAGCACACAGACAUGUGUAAUGGUCUGUAAAGGUCACAGUGACCCUUAAUAAGUCUCCAGUUUAGUAAUAGGCACACUGUCUCACUAGUCACACAGCCUGC
rnacentral:lncRNA from 1 species